rnacentral:rRNA from 1 species
GAUGAACGCUGGCGGCGUGCCUAAUACAUGCAAGUCGAGCGAACGGACGAGGAGCUUGCUUCUCUGACGUUAGCGGCGGACGGGUGAGUAACACGUGGAUAACCUACCUAUAAGACUGGGAUAACUUCGGGAAACCGGAGCUAAUACCGGAUAAUAUUUUGAACCGCAUGGUUCAAUAGUGAAAGACGGUCUUGCUGUCACUUAUAGAUGGAUCCGCGCUGCAUUAGCUAGUUGGUAAGGUAACGGCUUACCAAGGCAACGAUGCAUAGCCGACCUGAGAGGGUGAUCGGCCACACUGGAACUGAGACACGGUCCAGACUCCUACGGGAGGCAGCAGUAGGGAAUCUUCCGCAAUGGGCGAAAGCCUGACGGAGCAACGCCGCGUGAGUGAUGAAGGUCUUCGGAUCGUAAAACUCUGUUAUUAGGGAAGAACAUAUGUGUAAGUAACUGUGCACAUCUUGACGGUACCUAAUCAGAAAGCCACGGCUAACUACGUG